rnacentral:rRNA from 1 species
AUUGAACGCUGGCGGCAUGCCUUACACAUGGAAGUCGAACAGCAGCACGGGAGCUUGCUCCUGGUGGCGAGUGGCGAACGGGUGAGUAAUACAUCGGAACGUACCCUGAAGUGGGGGAUAACGUAGCGAAAGUUACGCUAAUACCGCAUAUUCUGUGAGCAGGAAAGAGGGGGAUCGCAAGACCUCUUGCUUUAGGAGCGGCCGAUGUCGGAUUAGCUAGUUGGUGAGGUAAAGGCUCACCAAGGCGACGAUCCGUAGCGGGUCUGAGAGGAUGAUCCGCCACACUGGGACUGAGACACGGCCCAGACUCCUACGGGAGGCAGCAGUGGGGAAUUUUGGACAAUGGGCGCAAGCCUGAUCCAGCCAUGCCGCGUGAGUGAAGAAGGCC